AUCUCCUCACAGGAAGUGAUCUGCAACCCUAACUGCACCUCUGUUAUCUGCUCUCUGCAAAAUUCUCAAGUCAUAUCUCAGCACACUUUAUGCUGACAACCACACACAGUUACCCUUUAGCUGUGAUCUAAAACAGGAAAGUGACUUGUGUUGUAAUAUUUUCCUACUUCUUAAACGCUGCUAUGCAAUGAAGACAUUAAAAAUGGACAUCAUCAUGUUUCUGCAGCAAAGAGACAAAUCUAAAUGGACACAAGUAAACUAGUCUAGUUUUUCAUUUUAAGAUGGUUAGGUUAGAGUUUGUAGAUUUGUGUCAUCGCUCAACUUUUUGCUAGCUUAAAAAAGAAAAAAGGUGUCUGCAGAAGGCAAUGGGCGGCCGGAAGAGCAGAAAUCGAGCGGCUGUGACUGUUAAACCCUCUUCCUGUGGUUGCGUCACGUGGCUCUGAAGGCUUCAAAAGGAGACAGCUUCUUCUUCUUCUUCCACUGCUUGGACAGACAGAAGACACCUGAGAGGGUUGGCGGACAAUCAAACACAGAAAACUUUAAAAUAAUACAAGACAAGGCCGAGGUGUUUUUAGACUUUUGGGUGAACGAAGAAGCUGAAACAAAAAAGCUUACUCAUUCCUGACAAAAUGGCCUCCUCAAGACAGCGCUUCCUCUCGCUUGUCUCCGAUCUUCGCCUCGGAAACUGAACCCGAGCUGAAGGACAGGUGGGGCCUUUUUGCUGUGUGUUUUAUCAUUUUUUUAUCACUUGUUUUAUCUUCACCAGACCCAGUUUCUAUAUGAAUCUGUAAAACUAGAUAUGCAAACGUGUCAAGAGAAAUCAGGAAGUGCACGUUGAGCUGUGAGGUUUGAGUUCUGGUGAGUGUCGGGUGAUGGUGCAGCUGCAGCUACAGCUGCAGAAGAAUAAGAAGAGGAAGAGAAGACCGGAGGAGCGGUGGAUGUACAGUGCAGUCAUCCAUAAAGUAGAAAGCACUACUAAACUCAUCACCACAGUGUAGUGUUUCCUACUUUAUGGAUGAGUGUACUGUUGGCGUCAGGGAGAGCAGAGGCCCGCCAUAGCGCCCACGCAGGAAGUCACAAAGAAACAGAAAAGAGGAAGUAGCUUUGUCUCAGAAGGCCACGCGUUACCCAGAGUGUUGCAGCAGACGGUUCACAUGGGCAGCGUGUGGCGCUGAGCAGAGCUCGCUACUCUUUCUCCAUCUCCUUACUCGUCUGUUUCACCUGUUCAGAAUAAGAACAGAAUCCAGUCUGUGCACUGGGAGUGACGUAAACACGAAUAAAGACAAAAAUAAAACCAG